AAUAGCUUACAGCAAACCUUUAUUGACUUAAAGGAGGUUGCUCUGCUAUGUACAACAGGAAAAAAAAAAGAGUAAACGUAGUAAGCUUCACACUAGAGCUAGCUAUAGCUCUACUAAAUGUGAAUUUAUUCCCGUUUAUUUCAUUUAUAUACAUAUUAGACCGCUCAUAUUGCACUAUUGGUUCUUUUUAUCUAGUUUUUGUCUUUCAUAUGAGUGCAUUCAUCCGGAAAAAGACACUGAG